rnacentral:piRNA from 1 species
CGGACGAAAGACACGGGCCUGAUUCG